AUUCCAGCUCCAAUAGCGUAUAUUUAAGUUGUUGCAGUUAAAAAGCUCGUAGUUGGAUUUCGGAUGAAUGCGACCGGUCCGUCGUUACGAUGUGUACUGGUUGCGUCCAUCUUGCUGUCGGGGACGCGCUCCUGGCCUUAACUGGCUGGGACGCGGAGUCGGCGAAGUUACUUUGAAAAAAUUAGAGUGUUCAAAGCAGGCUUACGCUCUGAAUACAUUAGCAUGGAAUAACGCGAUAGGACUCUGGUCUUAUUGUGUUGGUCUUCGAGACCGGAGUAAUGAUUAAGAGGGACAGUUGGGGGCAUUCGUAUUUCAUUGUCAGAGGUGAAAUUCUUGGAUUUAUGAAAGACGAACUUCUGCGAAAGCAUUUGCCAAGGAUGUUUUCAUCG
rnacentral:rRNA from 1 species